AUUGAACGCUGGCGGCAGGCCUAACACAUGCAAGUCGAGCGGAUGAAGGGAGCUUGCUCCUGGAUUCAGCGGCGGACGGGUGAGUAAUGCCUAGGAAUCUGCCUGGUAGUGGGGGAUAACGUCCGGAAACGGGCGCUAAUACCGCAUACGUCCUGAGGGAGAAAGUGGGGGAUCUUCGGACCUCACGCUAUCAGAUGAGCCUAGGUCGGAUUAGCUAGUUGGUGGGGUAAAGGCCUACCAAGGCGACGAUCCGUAACUGGUCUGAGAGGGUGAUCAGUCACACUGGAACUGAGACACGGUCCAGACUCCUACGGGAGGCAGCAGUGGGGAAUAUUGGACAAUGGGCGAAAGCCUGAUCCGGCCAUGCCGCGUGUGUGAAGAAGGUCUUCGGAUUGUAAAGCACUUUAAGUUGGGAGGAAGGGCAGUAAGUUAAUACCUUGCUGUUUUGACGUUACCAACAGAAUAAGCACCGGCUAACUUCGUG
rnacentral:rRNA from 1 species